rnacentral:lncRNA from 1 species
UGGAAUAGACAGUUCCAAGUAGGCCCUGCAUAACCAAAGGUGCAAAGGCCAGGAUGAGUUCAGGAUUUAGUUGUUGAGGUUUUGUGUCCCAAGGAAGUAAAAGUAAACUUGCUUUAGUUGAUACUGCAGGAAAUGUUCAAUAGGAAUUUAGGAUAUAUAUUGCUUUCCCCUGGUUUGUAUAUUCCAUUCUAGUGUUGCCAAGUGAUGUGUUCUGGAAUUCUUAACCAUCACUACCAGUUGGCUACCUGAAGCAUCGUUGGCCAUUUAACAAAAUGACUGAAAAACGCAAGUCUUUAUAUAUGCGAAUUGGGGUUCAAAUACGUAGGUAUUUCUCCAGGCUGCGGACCCAACUCCGGAAAUGUUGGAGUGUCAUUGUUAAGGGCUCUUUUGUUAAUAAAGAAGAAGAACCUAGUCUUCCAACUGAUAGUACUUUUUACAAGGAAAGAAUUAUAGCACUUGGCUACGUGUUGAAGAAUAAAUCUCUGUCCCUUGAAAUAAGAGCUCAAGCUGCGAAGAAAAUUGGACUUCUGGCCUUCACAGGAGGACCAGGUGCUGAGAAACUUGCAGCUGAGUACAUGAAAGAAGUAGCUCACUUGUUGCAAAAUGAUAUCGUGGCACCCAGAAUUAAGAUCCUGCUGCUCAAGGGUGUAGCGUGUUGGUGGUACUUGAACCCUGGGAGCCAGAAAAUGACCAAACACCUGAACUUCAUUCAUAUUCUUACAGGAUUGUUGGAAAGUCCUCUUGAAUAUUCCGUCAAGGGAGGAAAAAGCAGCCUCCUACUCCUCGUUAAAUUUUGGACUUGUUAUGCUCUCUGUGUCUUAGUGUACAAUAACUUAUCUUUCAUAGGAGAGCUUAAAAACUACAAUGCUCUAAAAUAUAAUUUGCAAAUAUUGGCUUCUGAGAAUUGGUUUGGAUGGCCUGAGAAUUUUGCAGAACUGCUGCAUCACCUAAUUUGUCUUUAUAGUAAGUAAUUUCUCUAAAUCAGUUACACGAUGCAGCUAUCUGUGCCACUGUAUUAUCUUGGCAAGAGACCUGAAAUAAAUAAUAAAAUAUGAUAUAUUAUUCUUUAGUGUUAUCUUUGGUAGUUG